AUACGGAAGGUCCGGGCGUUAUCCGGAUUUAUUGGGUUUAAAGGGAGCGCAGGCGGAGAUGCAAGCGUGACGUCAAAUUUCGGGGCUCAACCCCGUCUCGCGUCGCGAACUGCGUCCCUUGGUUGCGGGAAGGGGAGGCGGAACUCGUGGUGUAGCGGUGAAAUGCAUAGAUAUCACGAAGAACUCCGAUCGCGAAGGCAGCCUUCCGGCCCGUCAACGACGCUCAUGCUCGAAGGUGCGGGUAUCAAACAGGAUUAGAUACCCUGGUAGUCCGCACAGUAAACGAUGGACACCCGCGGUUUGGCCUGUAAGGCUGAGCCGCCAAGCGAAAGCGUUAAGUGUCCCACCUGGGGAGUACGCCAGCAACGGUGAAACUCAAAUGAAUUGACGGGG
rnacentral:rRNA from 1 species